rnacentral:lncRNA from 1 species
AUGCAAACCCAGGCUAUUGUAAUACUUCAUGGAAAAAAGCCAGUUUGCCUCUGUUUGUCCCCUUGUCACUGCCUCUUACCAUCACCGGGGCUCGGAGAGGCAGGGAAAACUGCAGGGAGCGAGAAGAAAAGUGCGGUAGAAGCCCAGACCCGGAGGAUCUCCUCCAAGAUUAAAGCUAGUCCUAAGAGCAACCGAAUUGCUGUGACUGACUUUCACGGGACUGUAAAGAAAGGAGAUGGUUUCCUCAGUGUGUGGCAAGUGUUUCUUCAAGAAAUUCAUCAGCCCUUCUACAAUUACUUCGAGCUCUGAGGGAAGAGAGCUGCCAUCACUUUCUCACAUCCCAAGGUGUUGCAUGGUGGAGAGAAGAAAAGGCUGGAGCAUUUAAUUAUAAUGGGGGUGAGGGGAACGGAGGCUGAAGAAAGCCCUCCCAAGACUACCUGGAAAAGAAAACCUGCAAGGGUAUAUUUGGGAAUCGUGUACGCCAUUUAGAGAUGGGUGAAAACACCCCAUCUUGUGCAAUAAUUAGCCUGAACAAUAAACAUAAUUGGAAUAAAAUCA